rnacentral:rRNA from 1 species
AGUGAACGCUGGCGGUAGGCCUAACACAUGCAAGUCGAACGGCAGCACAGGAGAGCUUGCUCUCUGGGUGGCGAGGGGCGGACGGGUGAGGAAUACAUCGGAAUCUACUUUUUCGUGGGGGAUAACGUAGGGAAACUUACGCUAAUACCGCAUACGACCUACGGGUGAAAGCAGGGGACCUUCGGGCCUUGCGCGAUUGAAUGAGCCGAUGUCGGAUUAGCUAGUUGGCGGGGUAAAGGCCCACCAAGGCGACGAUCCGUAGCUGGUCUGAGAGGAUGGGCAGCCACACUGGAACUGAGACACGGUCCAGACUCCUACGGGAGGCAGCAGUGGGGAAUAUUGGACAAUGGGCGCAAGCCUGAUCCAGCCAUACCGCGUGGGUGAAGAAGGCCUUCGGGUUGUAAAGCCCUUUUGUUGGGAAAGAAAUCCAUCUGGUUAAUACCCGGGUGGGAUGACGGUACCCAAAGAAUAAGCACCGGCUAACUUCGUGCCAGCCGCCGCCGUAA